rnacentral:lncRNA from 1 species
ACGUCGUCAAGCUCGGCGUCACCGCGCCCGCCAUCAGCGGUUUCACCCCCAAGCUCGAUUACUCCACCGGCAACAACACCGCCACCGUGGAGGUCAGCGGGAAGGUUGAUAAGGCGACGGUCACCCUCAAGGCGGACAUCGACAUCGAGGGCAAGAAGAGCAAGGGCGCCUCCGCCAAGGUGGCCUACCCGCUCCCCGAGGGUGUGAAGGCGACCGUGGAGGUCAAGGACGACAAGUCCGCCAAGGUUGAGCUCGCCAAGGACCAGUUCACCCUGGAGGUUCCCAUUGCUGACCUCACCGCGCCCUCGCUCUCCGCGGAUAACCUCACCCUCAAGGUGAAGUACUCCAUGGACUUCGACAUGUAAGUUUCAAGCCACAGUGUAUCCUCUUGAUGAACUUCGAGAGUGUUUCGACUUAUUCAUUGUAAGGUGUUAAGUUGGCUACGGACGCGUUAUGGAUUGGAUUAUUAU